AGCUUAAAGAGCCGCGGUAUUUUGACCGUGCAAAGGUAGCAUAAUCAUUAGUUUUUUAAUUGGAAACUCGUAUGAAUGGUUAAACAAAAGAAUCUCUGUCUUUUUAUCUAAUAUUGAACUUAACUUUUAAGUGAAAAGGCUUAAAUUUUUUAAGGGGACGAUAAGACCCUAUAAAGCUUUAUAAUGAAAUAAUAUUUUUUUGAAUGAAUUUUAUAAAAAAUAAAUAAAAUAACCUUAUUUUGUUGGGGCGACAUAGAUAUAAAUAUAUAAUUUAACUGUCAUAAUAUAAUACAUAAAUAUUUGAAUUAAUAUAGAUGAUCCUUCUUUUAAAGAUUAAAAGACUAAGUUACUUUAGGGAUAACAGCGUUAUUUCUUUUGAGAGUUCUUAUUGAAAAAGAAGUUUGCGACCUCGAUGUUGAAUUAAAAAAUCUUUAUAGUGCAGCCGUUAUAAAAAGAAGGUCUGUUCGACCUUUAAAUUUUUA
rnacentral:rRNA from 1 species